rnacentral:lncRNA from 1 species
AAGUAGUGGAUGGACAAUUUAUGUAAGUAUGUCUUAUCUGAUGGCUUCACAGUAAUCUGGUUUCCCCUAAGAAGCUAAGACUAUCUGGGCUAUUUGAGAUCCUGCAAGAUUUAUCAAGACUGUACUAGCCAUAUGAAAGCAUGUUAACACAGGGAGGGAGAGAGGAAAAGCCCUCCACAUGUUAUGACUGGCAUACAUGCUUCCAAAGCAUCGUUACUAACCGAAGGCCCAGUUCCUGAGGCGAUCACCCCAGACACACUGAAUGCAAUUUGUUGGUCACUGAG